UGCUGAAUCUCCGAUUCUGAUUCGGCCAAAUCAAAUGAGGACAAUGAUUCAAAUCACUGAAUUAAAUCACUGUUCUCCACAUCUGCUGAAUCUGAAUUGAAUACUUCCUUAUUCACACAGCCCUAACAGGUAGUGUGCCCUCAACAGACAAGGCUGGCUGUAUAGUAAGAGGAAAUGACACCUUCAUUUCUACCUAUGCCUUUUUGUUCGCUACAGUAGUGAUGUUAUUUCCACCUCUGACUUAGCUCCUACAUCUUCUACUGUCAAUUGUAAUCUUGCAUUGAAUAUAGAAUUUGUAUAUUUGCAGUGUGCCCUUGGGCAGACAACAUACACCGCAGCGUGCCCACCCUCCAGGAAGGACAGGCAAACGUCAGGUGACGCACUCCCUAUGUGCCCACCCUCCAGGAAAGGCUGAGAGCUGGAAGCCAGGCUCCACCUGGGCCCAGAGCCCAGCCAGGUUCGAGAGCAAGCAGCCAGCAUGUCCAGCAUUGCCUAGAGCCCAGAAGCUGCAGCUGCUGGCAGUGAUGAGCCCCACAGUCCUUUCCCUUAUCCUGAUGGGGCUGAGAGAGAGCUGACACAACUCUUCUUCAAUUGCUCUUGAUUGCCGCUUAUACAAUCUGCUUUCAGUCCUGCCCUUUGUAGAGGACAUCUCCAAGCUGUAAAAAUUCUGGAACAACUCUAGGAUGAUCACAUAAGAGGACUGAAGAGCUUCAGAGAUACUCAAACUGCCCUGUUACGAGAGAGAGGUGGUGUUUCCUUUCUUGCUUCCUUCCACAUGACUUCAUAAACAGAGAAGAAGCGAUUGUCUCUGAAGUCACUACAUUACAGACCUUUCAGAGUAGCUUAAACUGAGCAGGAGGAAAUGCAGUUCACAGGAAGAACUACAACCAGAAUAUGCUCUGAAGAAAGGGAAAAAGGAAGAAAGGAUCUCAGAAAGUGAAGAAAAUGGGAAGAGGACUAUUUUUUUACACUGUAUUAGUGGGAAAAAAAAAACAGCAUAGUGGUGCUACCUAAUGCCAUUGCUGACCAAACAACUUUCUGAGACAUUGCUCAUGGGGAGAUGCCUAAAGGUCACGCAAACCUGGCUGACAGCUUGGCUCUGCUCCUGGGUCACAGGGACUGAGGCAACUGAGAGCUACGAACGAAAGACAGUUUAUACCUCAGAGGGCAAAUGGGCUUGUGGGUAAAGCAAUGGACUAGAAAUUGUGCAAUCUGGGAUCUAUUACCUACUCUAACAAAGAUUCAUGGUAUGACCUUGGGUUGGCAUUUUAAAAUUAGUAUAUUUAAUACUCGGCAUCUGAAUCUACCACUAUAUUUAAAUUUCUGAACAAGAGCUCUGAUUUUCAGAGGUGCUGAGCACUCAAAGUCCCACUGCAGCAUUCAAUACCCCUGUAAACCAGUUAGCCUUCUGCCUUCAUUCUGAAAAAUAAGUCCACAUAGUCAUUGCUUAAAUUUUGCUUUAGUUUCCUAUUACCUGAAUUUUGGCCCUAAUCUAUUUUCUUUGUAUCAGUUUUUCUAUCUGUAAAAUGGGAAUAGUGCUACUUCCCUACCUUACAGGAGUAAAUUCUCUAAUGUUUUUGAAGUACUAGGAUACUAUAGGUACAGUGAGGAGUCUGAAAUUAUUCAUCAUUUUUUAUGCCUAGAAGUAAAUAAAAAUUAAUUGUGCAAGGCUAAUCAGAAUCAAAGUGAUGCCUGAACAUGUGUUCAUGUUGCAAGCAAAGCUCUGUCCAAAAUAUAAAAAACAUUUGCAUAUGAAAACUUUAAUCUGCCCUCAACAAGUAACCCUGAAUGUUUCACUGGACAUAUUUUCAAUUGCUGCAAGAUGCUCUGCAUUCAAUUUAUUUCAGGUAAGAACAAUAUAGUAGCUGUCAAGAUCAAUUGUGUUGUGUGAGUUGGGAAGACACUGUGCUAGUCUAUGUAGCUCUGUAGUCUCUCCAGCAUGAUUGCUACAGUUUCAGAGACUAUCUGCAUUAUGUUUUAGGAUUUUAGCCCCAGAGGGCAGCAUUCCAUCAGUACGAAAUGCCAUCAAAUUACUCUGGGCAAAAUCUUCUCCUGGCUUUUUUGACAUCUGAUUUUAUUUGGUUUUGGGCACACACAGAAAUCAUGCACCAAAGCUUGAUUGAACAUGUUUUCAGACAAAACUUUUCAUUUGACAAUGUCACGAUGUACAAGUGAUGAAAAUGUAAUUUUGUGUGGCUUACACAUUACAAGUGCACCAGUUUUG